rnacentral:lncRNA from 1 species
AAAUGGGCAAAUGUGCCAAUGACUGAGAGUCAACUCUCCUUGGAACAGCGCAUGUCUCUCUCAUGAAGAUGACAGAGGACAAAAGCAAGCAGAAAUAUACAAGGAUUUGCGUACUCUAUUAUGAAUUUCUCUUUGAGAAAUAAUACCUGUGAGAAUGCUGCUCCUUCAAUUAGGUUCAGGAUUGGAGGAAAAAUCAUAUAAAAUAGUUGGUAAUCUUUCUUCUCUAGAAAGUGGCAACGAUAUAUAGUACUGUUGAACCAUGCCUGCCAGUGUCAAUUCCUGAAAUGGCAAAAGAAAAGGGAAGAAGAAAAGAUAAUGCUAUAAUGAUCAGCUCCCAAACCUCUACUUAAAGCAUAAAUGGAGAAAAGAAAGCUCGGUGUAGUGCUACGGAACACUAUUCGGCAUUAAGCAGAGUAAAUAGCUUAGUCAACAGUGUGGGCCAUUGUCAGUCUUUAUUUGUCAUCUCUCACUGAGUGAUCACAACUCAGCCUCUUAUGUGUCCUGGAAGUGUCCAAUCUCCAAGUUAACUAUUUAUUAAGAGGAGAUGCAUCUUAAAAGUAAUGCCUCAUAUUUAGGGGAAUUAUAUUAAAGAUAUCUCAUUUUGUCAACCCUGCUAUUCGUUCCAUCCUUUCCAUGUAACACUAAUAAGAGGACACUCUACUGCACUGGUGUCUCAUCUGUGAUGAUUCAAAUGUUCUGUUUUCUUCAUGAUACUGUGUUGUAGACAAAAUUAUAAAGCAAGUAAAUUUGUGGGAGUUUUGGCAAUCGUAGAAAGCCAGUAAAGAAAAAUUUUCUAAGCCAUUUGAAUUAUAACAAAUUACACACAUAUUAAAGCUACACAAAUAAAAUAACUUUAUUUGGGUAUUUGGAUUGCAGGCUCUUGAAAAAUUUCAAAUUUGUCAGUCUUCCAAGUUGCAUAAAAGGCAUAAAAGUCUUUUUUAUUUAAUGUAGUGCUAUAAUUCUCCAGCUGAUAGAAUCAAAGCGUAAUUGCCUAAAUGUAUUUUCUAGUCAGUGUUGAAUCUCUGCCUAAUUUUCACAAUUAUUAGCCCUAAAUGACAAUACCAGUUGAUACAGUCUCAGGGAAUCCAAGCUAAUUUUAAUGUUCAUUCAAGCAAGACAGAAUCAUGAAGGUAUUCUCUUGGGGAAAAAUUCCUAUUAAUACAUUAUAAAAGCAAAUUGUGAGCUCUAAUUGUCAUGAUUUUGAGUUUAGUGUGCAAUGCUGCUCUCCUCUAUUAGCAGAUGAUGAAAAACUUCAUUGAAAAUGAAUGUGCAUGUGUACUUCACCUGAAAAUAAAAACAAUGUGUGUGUUUCUGAAAGUAUAUUAAAAUUAUAUUAGAGAUGAUUAACAACAAAUUGGAACUUAGACAGCUCCCACAAAGUAAUAUCAUUGUAAUCAUAUCUAUUUUGUAAAGGUCCCCUUUGUAGAGAAUAAAACAAAUUAGGUGUGUGUUACAGGUUGAAUUAUGUUCUCUCCCAAAAUUCCUAUGUUGACGUUUUAACCCCAGGUACCUUAGAAUGUGAAACCUUGUUUAGAAAUAGUGCUUGUUGUUGAAGAUGUAUUUAGUUAAGUUAGGAUGAAGUCAUAUUAGAAUAAAGUGGCCCCCUAAUCCUAUAUGACCGGUGCACUUAUAAAAGGAGGAAAAUAUCCAUUCUUCAGUCCAUGGGUCAAGAAAUAAUUCUGCCUUUCAUAUCCUAUUACUUAAGAAAUACAUUUCUUAAUGCUAUAGCUGACAUAGAUAGUGAUUCCUCUUAUGGAUCUGGGUAAAGUACAU